rnacentral:rRNA from 1 species
CUACGGAGGAUGCGAGCGUUAUCCGGAUUCAUUGGGUUUAAAGGGUGCGUAGGCGGAAGGAUAAGUCAGGGGUGAAAGUUUGCCGCUCAACGGUAAAAUUGCCUUUGAUACUGUUUUUCUUGAGUAAACGCGAGGUAUGCGGAAUGAGUAGUGUAGCGGUGAAAUGCUUAGAUAUUACUCAGAACACCGAUUGCGAAGGCAGCAUACUAGAGUUUAACUGACGCUGAUGCACGAAAGCGUGGGUAGCGAACAGGAUUAGAAACCCCUGUAGUCC